rnacentral:rRNA from 1 species
AUUGAACGCUGGCGGCAUGCUUUACACAUGCAAGUCGAACGGUAACAGGCCGCAAGGUGCUGACGAGUGGCGAACGGGUGAGUAAUGCAUCGGAACGUGCCCAGUCGUGGGGGAUAACUACUCGAAAGAGUAGCUAAUACCGCAUACGAUCUAUGGAUGAAAGCGGGGGACCGUAAGGCCUCGCGCGAUUGGAGCGGCCGAUGUCAGAUUAGGUAGUUGGUGGGGUAAAGGCUCACCAAGCCAACGAUCUGUAGCUGGUCUGAGAGGACGACCAGCCACACUGGGACUGAGACACGGCCCAGACUCCUACGGGAGGCAGCAGUGGGGAAUUUUGGACAAUGGGCGCAAGCCUGAUCCAGCAAUGCCGCGUGCAGGAAGAAGGCCUUCGGGUUGUAAACUGCUUUUGUACGGAACGAAACGGCUCUGGUUAAUACCCGGGGCUAAUGACGGUACCGUAAGAAUAAGCACCGGCUAACUA